rnacentral:rRNA from 1 species
AUUGAACGCUGGCGGCAGGCCUAACACAUGCAAGUCGAACGAGUGGCGGACGGGUGAGUAAUGUCUGGGAAACUGCCUGAUGGAGGGGGAUAACUACUGGAAACGGUAGCUAAUACCGCAUACCAUCAGAUGUGCCCAGAUUGGAUUAGCUUGUUGGUGGGGUAACGGCUCACCAAGGCGACGAUCCCUAGCUGGGCUGAGAGGAUGACCAGCCACACUGGAAAUGAGACACGGUCAAGACUCAUACGGGAGGCAGCAGUGGGGAAUAUUGCACAAUGGGCGCAAGCCUGAUGCAGCAAUGCGGCGUGUAUGAAGAAGGCCUUCGGGUUGUAAAGUACUUUCAGCGGGGAGGAGGUAAAGGAAGAAGAAGCACCGGCUAACUCCGUGCCAGCAGCCGCGGUAAGAG